rnacentral:rRNA from 1 species
AGCGAACGCUGGCGGCAGGCUUAACACAUGCAAGUCGAGCGGGCGUAGCAAUACGUCAGCGGCAGACGGGUGAGUAACGCGUGGGAACAUACCUUUUGGUUCGGAACAACACAGGGAAACUUGUGCUAAUACCGGAUAAGCCCUUACGGGGAAGAUUAUCGCCGAAAGAUUGGCCCGCGUCUGAUUAGCUAGUUGGUGAGGUAACGGCUCACCAAGGCGACGAUCAGUAGCNGGUCUGAGAGGAUGAUCAGCCACAUUGGGACUGAGACACGGCCCAAACUCCUACGGGAGGCAGCAGUGGGGAAUAUUGGACAAUGGGCGCAAGCCUGAUCCAGCCAUGCCGCGUGAGUGAUGAAGGCCCUAGGGUUGUAAAGCUCUUUUGUGCGGGAAGAUAAUGACGGUACCG